CGAACGCUGGCGGCGUGCUUAACACAUGCAAGUCGAACGCGAAAGGGACUUCGGUCCUGAGUAAAGUGGCGCACGGGUGAGUAACGCGUAGAUAACCUGUCUUCAUGUCUGGAAUAAUACGCCGAAAGGGGUACUAAUACCGGAUAUUCUUGCUUUUCAUAAGUUAUGCAAGCAAAGGUGGCCUCUGCAUAUGCUACUGCAUGAAGAGGGGUCUGCGUACCAUUAGCUAGUAGGUGGGGUAAUGGCCUACCUAGGCGACGAUGGUUAGCGGGUCUGAGAGGAUGAUCCGCCACACUGGCACUGGAACACGGGCCAGACUCCUACGGGAGGCAGCAGUGAGGAAUAUUGCGCAAUGGGGGAAACCCUGACGCAGCGACGCCGCGUGAGUGAGGAAGGCCCUCGGGUCGUAAAGCUCUGUCAAGAGGAAAGAAGUGUACAAUGGCUAAUACCUGUUGUAUUUGACGGUACCUCUAAAGGAAGCACCGGCUAACUCCGUGCCAGCAGCCGC
rnacentral:rRNA from 1 species